rnacentral:tRNA from 1 species
AGGGGUAUAGUUUAAUUGGAUAAAAUUUUAGAGUACGAUUCUAAAGAUGCAAGUUCGAAUCUUGCUAUUCCUACAA